rnacentral:lncRNA from 1 species
AAUUAGAUGACUAGCACUUUACCCUAACGGAUCGAUACACGCCGUGAUAUAUACAUAAUAUUACUGUAAGACCCUCUUUAAUUUACCGGCUCACCUGCUAUGAAAAAAAAUGAAAAAUCAUUUUCAAUUAACUCCUAAGUAAAUCGUGUCUCUUCCUUUUCCACACAACCUCCAUUCCCACUUUUUUCAUCUACGGUUCUUCCCCCUCCAUACGCUUCUCUCGCAAAUCUCCUUCACCCGCUC